GGUCGGGACCUGUGUCAGUAUUGUGGACCGACAAAUAUUGCACUCUUCCCGGCCUA
rnacentral:miRNA from 1 species